UGGGUCUAAUACCGGAUACGACCAUCUGGCGCAUGUCAUGGUGGUGGAAAGCUUUUGUGGUUUUGGAUGGACUCGCGGCCUAUCGGCUUGUUGUUGGGGUAAUGGCCUACCAAGGCGACGACGGGUAGCCGGCCUGAGAGGGUGACCGGCCACACUGGGACUGAGACACGGCCCAGACUCCUACGGGAGGCAGCAGGGGGGAAUAUUGCACAAUGGGCGCAAGCCUGAUGCAGCGACGCCGCGUGAGGGAUGACGGCCUUCGGGUUGUAAACCUCUUUCAGUAGGGAAGAAGCGAAAGUGACGGUACCUGCAGAAGAAGCGCCGGCUAACUACGUGCCAGCAGCCGCGGUAAUACGUAGGGCGCAAGCGUUAUCCGGAAUUAUUGGGCGUAAAGAGCUCGUAGGCGGUUUGUCGCGUCUGCUGUGAAAGACCGGGGCUCAACUCCGGUUCUGCAGUGGGUACGGGCAGACUAGAGUGCAGUAGGGGAGACUGGAAUUCCUGGUGUAGCGGUGAAAUGCGCAGAUAUCAGGAGGAACACCGAUGGCGAAGGCAGGUCUCUGGGCUGUAACUGACGCUGAGGAGCGAAAGCAUGGGGAGCGAACAGGAUUAGAUACCCUGGUAGUCCAUGCCGUAAACGUUGGGCACUAGGUGUGGGGGACAUUCCACGUUUUCCGCGCCGUAGCUAACGCAUUAAGUGCCCCGCCUGGGGAGUACGGCCGCAAGGCUAAAACUCAAAGGAAUUGACGGGGGCCCGCACAAGCGGCGGAGCAUGCGGAUUAAUUCGAUGCAACGCGAAGAACCUUACCAAGGCUUGACAUGAACCGGAAAGACCUGGAAACAGGUGCCCCGCUUGCGGUCGGUUUACAGGUGGUGCAUGGUUGUCGUCAGCUCGUGUCGUGAGAUGUUGGGUUAAGUCCCGCAACGAGCGCAACCCUCGUUCUAUGUUGCCAGCGCGUAAUGGCGGGGACUCAUAGGAGACUGCCGGGGUCAACUCGGAGGAAGGUGGGGACGACGUCAAAUCAUCAUGCCCCUUAUGUCUUGGGCUUCACGCAUGCUACAAUGGCCGGUACAAAGGGUUGCGAUACUGUGAGGUGGAGCUAAUCCCAAAAAGCCGGUCUCAGUUCGGAUUGGGGUCUGCAACUCGACCCCAUGAAGUCGGAGUCGCUAGUAAUCGCAGAUC
rnacentral:rRNA from 1 species